rnacentral:rRNA from 1 species
GAUGAACGCUAGCGGCAGGCUUAACACAUGCAAGUCGAGGGGUAUAGGUUUUCGGACCUAGAGACCGGCACACGGGUGCGUAACGCGUAUGCAAUCUACCUUUCACAGAGGGAUAGCCCAGAGAAAUUUGGAUUAAUACCUCAUAGUAUAGCAGUUUCGCAUGAAACCACUAUUAAAGUUCCAACGGUGAAAGAUGAGCAUGCGUCCCAUUAGCUAGAUGGUAAGGUAACGGCGUACCAUGGCUACGAUGGGUAGGGGUCCUGAGAGGGAGCUCCCCCACACUGGUACUGGGACACGGACCAGACUCCUACGGGAGGCAGCAGUGAGGAAUAUUGGUAAAUGGACGCAAGUCUGAACCAGCCAUGCCGCGUGCAGGAUGACGGUCCUAUGGAUUGUAAACUGCUUUUGUACGAGAAGAAACAUUCCGACGUGUCGGAACUUGACGGUAUCGUAAGAAUAAGGAUCGGCUAACUCCGUGCCAGCCGCCGCGGUAAAAC